UUAAAUUGAAGAGUUUGAUCAUGGCUCAGAUUGAACGCUGGCGGCAGGCCUAACACAUGCAAGUCGAACGGUAGCGGGAAGAAGCUUGCUUCUUUG
rnacentral:rRNA from 1 species